UACGAACCGUACAAACGUUAUUCGGAAUCAUUGGGCUUAAAGGGUACGUAGGCGGCGCUGUUAGUCGGGUGUGAAAGCCCUCGGCUCAACCGAGGAAUUGCGCCCGAUACUGCAGUGCUUGAGGGAGACAGGGGUAAGCGGAACUGAUGGUGGAGCGGUGAAAUGCGUUGAUAUCAUCAGGAACACCAGUGGCGAAAGCGGCUUACUGGGUCUCUUCUGACGCUGAGGUACGAAAGCUAGGGUAGCGAACGGG
rnacentral:misc_RNA from 1 species